GCCCGGUAAGUUUUGUUCUUGAUAGAUCGGUCCAUUUGUUGUCACUAAUGUGUUGCCCUAUGGUGCAGCGAAAAUUAAAAGCUUGGAUUCGGAUAAAAUUUUCAAAGUGGAUGGUCAUAGAUUCAAGAUCUUCCAUGAGGGUGAAAUUGUUCCAUGUCUCAUUAGUUUUCCUUUGGAUCACACCACUUAUUUGGAUGGCUCAAAUGUCUCAUCAUUCCGUCGAGCAUAAUAACGUUAAACAAUUGCGCUAUUGGGAGGCAACCCAAAUACUUUCUUUAUUUUUAUUUAUACUUUUUAUUUUCUUUCACUUAGUUUAUUUUAUUUUUAGUUUUUAGUUUUUUUUUAAUGAAGAAGUUUUUUUUUUUUGCAGGAGAUUAAUUUCAAUAAGGUGUGACCACGUCUUUUUACAGCUCUCCAAGAUGCAUCAACCAAAUUUUUUCCAGAAGAUCAUUUUUUAUAAGCUGUGAUCGCGUCUAAUCUCAAACCACCUUUUGAUUUGUUUUGACUUCUUUACUUUAUUUUUCAGAAGAUGGUUUUUUUAUAAGCCGCGGCCACAUCUUAUCUUAAACCACCUUCUGAUUUGUUUUAACCUCUUUACUUUAUUUUUCAGAAGCUUAUUUUUUAUAAGCUGUGACCACGUCUUAUCUCAAACCCACUUCUGAUUUGUUUUGACUUCUCUACUUUAUUUUUUUGGUAUUUUAUUAUUAUUAUUUAUUUUUGUGCUUAAAAAAGAGAGAGAAAAGAAUAGAGAACGUUUUAUUUUGCAGCAGCCACCAAUAUUUUAUUUUAUUUUGCAACAGCCACCAAUGUUUUAUUUUCUUUUGCAGCAGCCACCAACGCUUUAUUUUCUUUUGCAGCAGCCAUCACCAAAACUUCCUAUUUUCACUGGAGGGUUCUACCUCCUUGCUUACCAUCACCAGAGACUACUCAGUCUGAGUUGCUCUUAAAUCAGGAGAGUUUCAUAUUUCUUUUCAUUUCUUUUGUGAACCAUUUUCUUUUUUAUACAUUGAGGACAAUGUAUAGUUUAGGUGUGGGGGAGGAAUAUGAUAAUUACAUGAUUUCCUUUUCUUUUUAAAAAUAUUUUUUUAUGCUUAGAAUUAGGUAUGCUUUAAUUCAUAUGUGCUAAUUUUUCUUUUACAACCUUGAGUUUUGUUUUGAUAACCUAGAAUACCAUGUAAGAUACAUUUUUUGUUUGAGUUUUAAUGCAUGAAUGGGACAAGCAUGAUUAGUGUUUCUUUAAAAUUAUUUGAUGGUAUCUCAUUAGUUUAUUGAUUGAAAAAUGCAAGAGACUUGAUACAAAUUUGAACAUUCAAGUGAGCUUUUGAGCCAAAGAGCAAUUCAUUAUAUUCUGCUCUAAUUAUUUUUGUUGAGUGUUAUCAAACUUAGUAUAUUUAUUCUAGAACUUGCUUGUAAAUGCAUGUUGAGACCACAUCUUUGG
rnacentral:lncRNA from 1 species